GAUGAACGCUAGCAGAACGCCUAACACAUGCAAGUCGAACGAAAUUCUAUCUUCGGGUAGUUGAAAGUGGCAAACGGGCGAGUAACACGUAUCUAACCUACCCCAGAGCAGGAGAUAACUAUGGAGACAUAGCUAAUACCCUAUACGCUCAACGUAAUGAAAAACCGUUGAGGAAAGAUUUAUCACUCAGGGAGGGGGAUGUGGCCUAUCAGGUAGUUGGUGAGGUAAUAGCUCACCAAGCCGAUGACGGGUAGCCGGUCUGAGAGGAUGUCCGGCCGCAAUGGGACUGAGACACGGCCCAUACUCCUACGGGAGGCAGCAGUGGGGAAUAUUGCACAAUGGGCGAAAGCCUGAUGCAGCGAUUCUGCGUGGAGGAUGAAGCAUUACGGUGUGUAAACUCCUUUUCUGGAGGAAGACGAAUGACGGUACUCCAGGAAUAAGGGACGGCUAACUUCGUGCCAGCAGCCGCGGUAAUACGAAGGUCUCAAGCGUUAUCCGGAGUUACUGGGCGUAAAGAGUCUGUAGCCUGUUCUGUAAGUCUAUUUUCAAAUACACCGACUCAAUCGGGGAAAGGGAGUAGAUACUGCAGAGCUAGAGGAUUUAAGAGGUUAGUAGAAUUUCCAGUGGAGCGGUGAAAUGCGUUGAUAUUGGAAGGAAUGCCAAAAGCGAAAGCAGCUAACUAUUAAAUAUCUGACGGUGAGAGACGAAAGCUUGGGUAGCAAACGGGAUUAGAUACCCCGGUAGUCCAAGCCGUAAAUUAUGUUCGCUAGGUGUCUGUCCCGUACUAUAAUUUGUACAAGUAUAAAUUUUAGUACGGGAUGGGUGCCGUAACCUAACGGGUUAAGCGAACCGCCUGGGUAGUAUAUUCGCAAGAAUGAAACUCAAAGG
rnacentral:rRNA from 1 species